GGUCUGAAAGAGGUUGGGGGUCUAGCAGAUGUAGAAGGGGGAGUUUGAAUGGGAGGAAUGAUGGGAAUUGCUUGCUUUUGAUUCCUUUGAAUAGUUUUUAUCUUAAUUUCAAUGACUACAACUCUCUAAACCAAAUUACUAAUAAGUUGAUGUGUAUUUGCCAUUCAACAAUAUCCAAGUUAGGAAUUAGCCUAUAGAUAGUAG
rnacentral:lncRNA from 1 species